GAUGAACGCUGGCGGCGUGCCUAAUACAUGCAAGUCGAGCGAACGGACGAGAAGCUUGCUUCUCUGAUGUUAGCGGCGGACGGGUGAGUAACACGUGGAUAACCUACCUAUAAGACUGGGAUAACUUCGGGAAACCGGAGCUAAUACCGGAUAAUAUUUUGAACCGCAUGGUUCAAAAGUGAAAGACGGUCUUGCUGUCACUUAUAGAUGGAUCCGCGCUGCAUUAGCUAGUUGGAAGGUAACGGCUUACCAAGGCAACGAUGCAUAGCCGACCUGAGAGGGUGAUCGGCCACACUGGAACUGAGACACGGUCCAGACUCCUACGGGAGGCAGCAGUAGGGAAUCUUCCGCAAUGGGCGAAAGCCUGACGGAGCAACGCCGCGUGAGUGAUGAAGGUCUUCGGAUCGUAAAACUCUGUUAUUAGGGAAGAACAUAUGUGUAAGUAACUGUGCACAUCUUGACGGUACCUAAUCAGAAAGCCACGGCUAACUACGUG
rnacentral:rRNA from 1 species